GUCGAACGGCAGCACAGAAGAGCUUGCUCUUUGGGUGGCGAGUGGCGGACGGGUGAGUAAUGUCUGGGAAACUGCCCGAUGGAGGGGGAUAACUACUGGAAACGGUAGCUAAUACCGCAUAACGUCGCAAGACCAAAGUGGGGGACCUUCGGGCCUCACACCAUCGGAUGUGCCCAGAUGGGAUUAGCUAGUAGGUGGGGUAAUGGCUCACCUAGGCGACGAUCCCUAGCUGGUCUGAGAGGAUGACCAGCCACACUGGAACUGAGACACGGUCCAGACUCCUACGGGAGGCAGCAGUGGGGAAUAUUGCACAAUGGGCGCAAGCCUGAUGCAGCCAUGCCGCGUGUAUGANGAAGGCCUUCGGGUUGUAAAGUACUUUCAGCGGGGAGGAAGGCGGUGAGGUUAAUAACCUUGCCGAUUGACGUUACCCGCAGAAGAAGCACCGGCUAACUCCGUGCCAGCAGCCGCGGUAAUACGGAGGGUGCAAGCGUUAAUCGGAAUUACUGGGCGUANAGCGCACGCAGGCGGUCUGUUAAGUCAGAUGUGAAAUCCCCGGGCUUANCCUGGGAACUGCAUUUGAAACUGGCAGGCUUGAGUCUCGUAGAGGGGGGUAGAAU
rnacentral:rRNA from 1 species